UACGUAGGGUGCGAGCGUUGUCCGGAAUCACUGGGCGUAAAGGGCGCGUAGGCGGUGGCUUAAGCGUGUGGUGAAAGCUCAGGGCUCAACCCUGAGUCGGCCGUGCGAACUGGGUCACUGGAGCAUGUCAGAGGCAGGCGGAAUUCCGGGUGUAGCGGUGGAAUGCGUAGAGAUCCGGAAGAACACCGGUGGCGAAGGCGGCCUGCUGGGACAUUGCUGACGCUGAGGCGCGACAGCGUGGGGAGCAAACAGG
rnacentral:rRNA from 1 species